GCUAUGAGUUUGUGGCAUAUCCCAUCUUCAAGUAGAAGUAAUGUGUAUCUUCUAUUAAAAAAGUCUAACGCAUAAUGAAAUGGGGGAUUCUCUUCUUUUUGGCAGUCCUCGUAUGGUGCCACCAUCAUUCUUGCUUGGCUUCCACUUUAAUCCAUGUCACCCACAUCAACAUCUCCACCUCAAAUGGAUCAAAUGAAAUAUUACUCUUGAUAUUGUUACAUCUCAUGGUAUCAUUGAAUGGAGUCUCUUUCCUAUUCUCAAUUCUCAUCUUAAUUUUCCUU
rnacentral:lncRNA from 1 species